rnacentral:lncRNA from 1 species
UUGGAACAUAUCCUUGAAACUGGGAAGAAGGGGAAACAGGAGCUCUCCACGUUCAUUGUACUUGGAAGCAGGCAUCUAUCUACAGUCUCAAUGGCAUUUCUAGUGAGAGGUGGCAGCCUUUCAAGCUUUUUUUCUUCCUAGGAAAAAGAUGAGCUGAUCCAACCUAAAAUCUUUGUGUGAUUUAUCCUCCACAAUGGAAUUACUGGUGGAAGGUGGGUGCUUUUCAAGUUUUUAUUUUUCCUUAAAAACAGAUGCAUUAAUCCAACCUGAAUUCUUUGUGUGAUUUGUCUCCACACAGUGGAAUUACUAGUGGAAGCAGGCAGGCAGGCUACCAAGAUUCCUUUUUCCCUUGCAGAAAGAAGCAUUGAUCCAACCUGAAAUCUUUGUGUGAUUUAUCAUCUACAAUGGAAUUACUGGUGCAAGAUGGCUGCCUUUCGAGCUCUUUUAUUUUUCCUUGAAAGAAAGAGGCAGCCUAGCAAACUAUCAGAGCCUUUAUCUUUCCUUGUUGUCUUUGAAAGAAGGGACAUUACCUGAUAUCACUGAUGACAUAAGAUGCAGCCUAGCAAAAUAUCUGUGCCUUUAUCUAAGAGCUUUUUUUAUUGUCUUUCUCUCUUUCAAAGAAAGGGGCAUUUCCUGAAUCAUUUAUGAGAUAUGAGUCAUCCUAGCAAACUACCAGAGCUUUUAUUUUAAGGACUUAUUUUGGAGUAAUGGUCACUAUCUGAAAGUUGGAUAAAUGCCAUUGAACAGGACAGGUUUUAUUUUCAUUCUGCAGUUCUAAGAUUGUGUUUGGCAGCAUGAGAAAUUUUAGUUACAUCUUUUCUGAUGAAAAAAGCCUCUUUUGUUCAGUGGAAACAUUUUAAAAUCAGUGACAAGAUUAAUUUUCAUAAUUCUACAAGAAUUUUGUAUUUUAGAUUUUUUCAUCCUUUGCAAAAAAAUGAAAACAUCUUCA